rnacentral:SRP_RNA from 1 species
GCCAGGUGUGGUGGCUCACGCCUGUAAUCCCAGCACUUCAGGAGGCUGAGGCAGGAGGAUCACCUGAGGUCAGGAGUUCAAGACCAGCCUGACCAACAUGGUGAAACCCUGUCUCUA